CAUGUAUUGUUACAAAAAAGCUACGCAUUGUGUGACUGCCUUUAUUAGGUCGCAGUGACAAAGGCCUGCCUGAAGUCCAUCCGGGAUGCAGCUGAUCAACAGCCACAAGGGUCAUUCCUAGCCCGGCUCCAUGAGGACCUAGAUGACCCUACUGGAUUAGGAACGUUUAGCAUCAUGCAUGAGGAGGAGAGACACAGGAGAGGCAGACCCCAGGGUGAAGAGACAAGGGAGCGGCUCUGGUCACGUUUUAGGACCCAGGUAAUGGAGCCUUAUCUGGACAGCCUGCAAGACAGGCUAGACAUCCUGGAAGCCUUUCAAGUGCUGGGACCCCAGGCUGCCACAGAAAAUGAUACUGUCAAGGCAGGACAUCUUCAGACUCUGUCCAGAAAAUUCUUGCAGCAGCCACAAAAUCCAGCACUGCUGCAAGAGUUUACAUCAUACAAGCAGCACCUGCUCGUUGGAGCCUUCAAGAAUCUGGAACAGCUUAACAUCAUGAUGAGACUGGCAUCCCAAAACGACGAACGGGGACAGCUCUAUCCGUCCUUGAGCCAGCUAGCGGCCAUUCCAUUGACAUUGCCCAUAUCAUCCGUCAACUGUGAGAGAGAUUUCUCUACAAUGAACAGGGUCAGACAUUUGGUUAUUAGUAAACUUUAAGUCAGGGAUGGUUUGGUUUCUCUCAGUUUUCUACACCCCACUCACUUUUAAUUGUUUUUAUGUGGAGGUGAAGACGGAUCUCAGGAAUAGGCUGCAGGGGGAUCAUCUGGCAGCGUGCAUGCUCCUCAGCAUCAAUGGACCAGCUCUUAAGGACUUCCCUUAUCAAAGAGCCUUAGAGCUCUUCUUCAAAAAGCCACGGAAAAUGAAGUGCUCUGAGCCAGGCUACAAACUGUGCCAUUAGAUAGACAGUGCAGUUGGCAGUUGCAGAUGCAGUUUCAAAUGUUAAAAAGUCUCACAGGAGACAGAAGGGCACAGUUGUAUAUAGUUUUGCUACAGCCUUUUACUUUUUGCCUCUUUGUUUACUGUUGUUGCCACAGCACUAGGAUAAAGCAAAGGCACAAGCUCUGUGGCACUGGCAGAUUGACGCCUCUUCUAGAUGC